AACGCACAUUGCGCCCGCCAGCACUCUGGCGGGCAUGCCCGUCCGAGCGUCAUUUCAACCCUCGAGCACCGCCUCGGCGAUGGGGGACGCGGCCGCCCCAGGCGCCGCGCCCCCGAAAUGCAGUGGCGACCCCGCCGCGGCACCCCCUGCGCAGUAGCUCCCAGAGAACCUCGCACCGGGCGCCCGGCGGACGGCCCGCCCCGGACCUCGCGUCCGGUCACCCCCCCUAGAGUUGACCUCGGAUCGGGUAGGGAUACCCGCUGAACUUAA
rnacentral:misc_RNA from 1 species